UUUUCUUGGUUCUUUCGGUAAAGUCACGUAGAAUGGAAAUAAAAUAAUAAAAAUAAAACGUAAUAAAAUUCUCACGACGUUUCGGCCACAACACAAGUAGCCUUCUUCAGGUGAAGAAACAGGUAGACAGUCAUGUCUACACGUCGCAGAGUUCAUACACGGGCGUCGGACGACGGAGACGAUGAAGAGCUGAUUCCGCUCAUGGCUGUCGAUGAAGGAGCGGAGGCGCUGCCAGCGGAGCAGAGCGCCGUCGGAGAGCGUGGCGCCUCGCCAUCGCUUGUCAGAGACGCGCACGGUCGCCUUGCAGAGCUUCUUCAGACGGCGUCCUCGAUCCUCGCCGAGCUGCGUCCUCUAACUGCUGCGGCGAAGGAGGGAGCAGUGGAGUCGUCUGGACAGAGCGACUCGGCCGCAAUUUCAAAAAGGGCGGGAAUGUCGACGGCGCAGCCCGUGUUCACGGCCGCCAUUUUACCGUCGGCGCGGAGCGCGGAGGCCGCCAAGCUCGAAGCAGAGCGGUCCUCGCCAAUGGACAUCCCGUCGCUCCGCCGCCGACUACCCUUCAUUAAAUAAUUUGUUGCUGCCAGCGGCGAUUGGAUAGCAUUUAAGCGGCGAUUUCUCACCAAUGCUGACUUGGCGGGAUGGACGGAGGCGCUGAAAGCGCUGCCCGCCACCCUCGACGACGACGCCUUGGCGGCAAUUCCUCGCCAUCUGACAGAUCCACCCUCAUGCUGGCGUUCGAACAGAUGGCGGCUGUUUUUGAGCCUCCAUUGAAUACCCGGCAAAAGUUUGCCCUAAGACGUAAAGGGGAGGGUGAGUCGGCUCUCGCCUACCGUAGCGCGCUUUGGCGCUAGCAAAGGCCGCGUUCCCUAAAAUGGACCAUGACGGUCUUUGACGCCUUGGUCCUCGAGAAGAUGCUGGGAGUCGCAAAAGACCUCCACACUGUGCUUCCCGCCGAGGACGAUGCGGUGUCUUCACUCUGGGUCGCCAGGUGCAUCCAGGCACAGCAGAUCCUGCACCGCGACAGGGUGUUGGUGGCGUGCGCCACAUCCUCAACAGAGCCGGAGGCCUGCGCGGAGACCGAGCCUGCUCCUGCAUGCUGCUGCACCAGCGGGGUGGCGCCCAUCGGGGUGCUGACGAUCGGCGGAGGGACGACCGGCGACGAGCGAGGUCUUCAUCAUCUCAGUCCAGAGUGGCCAGGUCGUCUGCUACAACUGCGGCCUGCCGGGGCACGUCCAGUCGGGCUGUCGGGUUCCUCGAUGGCGGCCCCUGGGAAGUCCGCAAUCCUACGGCUCCCUGCUUCAUAAGGCGGUGCGCGAUUGAUGCCUCGCACGCGGCCGCUCGUGUCGGCCUCGCGUGCUCUGGACGUGGAAGGUCGGACGGUCCGGCCUACUACUCGUGAGGAGCCCAGCUUCGUCCGAUCGAUUUCUCAUUUCCCCCGGGUCAUCCAGGGCGGACGAGCCCAACCCCCCUGGAGGCCCGGCAUUGCGGACUCUCUCAAAGACUCGGGUUGCAUAAUCCCCGCACGUUGCACUCCCACGCCGUCAUUGGUUGUCGCGCUCGCGUGAGUCAUAGCGAGUAAUUGGCUGACCUUGCUUGCCAUUGAGCUCACGAGCGUUGUUACACUGUUGAUUGCGGGGGCCCUGCAUGUCGCGAUUGUUAUUGUUCUGCAUUAUUUUCAUUGUUAGCCAGUGUAUAAUUGUACAGGUGGGUUUUGGUAUUUAUUGGUAGUUUUGUUGUUGGAGCACACGUGCGUUAUGUUGACAGCCGGGAUGGCUGAGUGCUAUGGAGGGGGCGGGUGAUGUAGUGACUGGGAAAGUCACUGUGUGGUGCCCGGCCUACGAGGCCACGGCAGGAUGUAUACUAUUGUGUGUAGCAUGCGGUGCGGGCUCCCAUUGAGAGAGCAAGAGAGUUUCAGCCAGCUCGGGUUGCGUUGGGGGCAUGAUACUCUGGUUGACCUGGGGACAUGUGACCGGAUGAUACUGGAGGGGGGCCACCGGUGGAGGGGGCCAAUGGGUGGUCACAUGGUCCAGGAAGAACUCUCGAGAGCCUUCGGGCAAGGGCAAGAGAGAUCGAAACGGUGGGCGGGGUGAGAGGCAGAGCCAGCCCCAGGCCGGCCCGAUAUAAGGGGGGGCGCGCCCCUGUGAGGGGCUCGGGGUUCUUACUGUUGGAGAGGCAGGAGAUCCAUGUCAAGCUUGAAGAAGCCUCCAGCCACACGGUCCGGGACUCAGCUUGUGGCCCGGACCGGGAUAGCAGAACCGUUACUAGUUCCGCUGUAGCGUGGUUAGUUGGGUGGUCACUACCUGAGGGUAUGUUGUGUUAAUAGUUUAAUAAAAUGUGUUGCUCCCUAA